rnacentral:rRNA from 1 species
AUUGAACGCUGGCGGCAUGCCUUACACAUGCAAGUCGAACGGUAACGGGCCUUCGGGUGCCGACGAGUGGCGAACGGGGGAGUAAUACAUCGGAACGUGCCCGAUCGUGGGGGAUAACGAGGCGAAAGCUUUGCUAAUACCGCAUACGAUCUACGGAUGAAAGCAGGGGACCGCAAGGCCUUGCGCGGACGGAGCGGCCGAUGGCAGAUUAGGUAGUUGGUGGGCUAAAAGCGUACCAAGCCGACGAUCUGUAGCUGGUCUGAGAGGAUGAUCAGCCACACUGGGACUGAGACACGGCCCAGACUCCUACGGGAGGCAGCAGUGGGGAAUUUUGGACAAUGGGCGCAAGCCUGAUCCAGCCAUGCCGCGUGCAGGAUGAAGGCCUUCGGGUUGUAAACUGCUUUUGUACGGAACGAAAAGCCUUCUUUUAAUACAGGAGGGUCAUGACGGUACCGUAAGAAUAAGCACCGGCUAACUACGUG